rnacentral:rRNA from 1 species
UACGUAGGGUGCAAGCGUUGUUCGGAAUCAUUGGGCGUAAAGCGCGUGUAGGCUGUUAGUUAAGUCAGAUGUGAAAGCCCUCGGCUCAACCGGGGAAGUGCAUUUGAAACUAACUGGCUAGAAGAUGGUAGAGGAAGGUGGAAUUCCUAGUGUAGAGGUGAAAUUCGUAGAUAUUAGGAGGAAUACCUGUGGCGAAGGCGGCCUUCUGGACCGUUCUUGACGCUGAGACGCGAAAGCGUGGGUAGCAAACAGG